AAGUCGUAACAAGGUUUCCGUAGGUGAACCUGCGGAAGGAUCAUUAACACGUAUCCAAACGUUAAACCCGUUAGAAAAAGCAGCAAUCCCUGGUAAAUCAUCGCCGAACAGUUUUCGAUUCAGGGACGUCUGCAAGGAGCGUGCAUGUUGUGCGUGUAAGUGGCCUGGCAUCCCCAAGCAGUUAGUGUCUGAAAGUGUCACUAACGUUAGUGUCUGAAAGUGUCACUAACAUGUGUAAGGAUGACGCAGUCACGAUCGUUGGAGGCCCACACGGCCGACGACCGGGUCACUGGGUGCAAGCCCCCUUAUCACACCCCUGCUCUAUCUAUGGUGAUCCUGCGGGAAGUCCUGCGGUCGAACGCCGAAACCGAACAACUGUUAACAAUGGAUAUCUUGGUUCUC
rnacentral:misc_RNA from 1 species